CUUUUUAUUUUUCCUUUUUCCAAAUAUUCUUCUAAAUCAAGUACAUGAAUCAGGAUAUUUGAUCCAAUUUGAACUAAAGUCUUUUGAGGAGCUAAUGGUGUGGUGAGAACUUAGAAAAUGGCCUGGGCAUAUCUGAUUAAAAGGUGGCAAUGAUAAUGAAUACACUAGUUGCAGUUUCAAUAGAGUGAGAAUUAUGAUUGCAUAUUGUCAUCCUCCAAAAAAAAUUUCACAUAACUAUGAGAUUCUCUAUGCUCGAUAGUUGCUAUUGGGCGGCAAGGAAUGUCAAUUUAAUGUGGUAAUGCAACGGCAAGGAAUGUCAAUUUAAUGUGGUAAUGCAAUCUCA